GUCCUUCGGGACUGGGGACAGCGGCGAACGGGUGAGUAACACGUGGGUAAUCUACCCUCGGUUUCGGGAUAGCCCGGGGAAACCCGGAUUAAUACCGAAUGGCCUCUCAGGCUCUCGGGCUUGAGAGAAAAGGUAGCUUCGGCCUCUGACCGAGGAUGAGCCCGCGGCCGAUUAGCUAGUUGGUGGGGUAAUGGCCCACCAAGGCAACGAUCGGUAGCUGGUCUGAGAGGACGAUCAGCCACACUGGGGCUGAGACACGGCCCAGACUCCUACGGGAGGCAGCAGUGGGGAAUCUUGCGCAAUGGGCGAAAGCCUGACGCAGCGACGCCGCGUGCGGGAAGAAGGCCUUCGGGUUGUAAACCGCUUUCAGGAGGGACGAAGCCACUCGGGUUAAUAGCCCAGAGGGUGACGGUACCUCCAGAAGAAGCCCCGGCUAACUACGUGCCAGCAGCCGCGGUAAUACGUAGGGGGCAAGCGUUGUCCGGAUUUAUUGGGCGUAAAGAGCGUGUAGGCGGCCGUGUAGGUCUGACGUGAAAUCUGGAGGCUCAACCUCCAGCUGUCGUUGGAAACCGCGCGGCUAGAGUCCGGAAGAGGAGAGUGGAAUUCCUGGUGUAGCGGUGAAAUGCGCAGAUAUCAGGAAGAACACCUAUGGCGAAGGCAGCUCUCUGGGACGGUACUGACGCUGAGACGCGAAAGCGUGGGGAGCGAACAGG
rnacentral:rRNA from 1 species